rnacentral:rRNA from 1 species
AUUGAACGCUGGCGGCAUGCUUUACACAUGCAAGUCGAACGGUAACAGGCCGCAAGCUGCUUACUAGUGGCGACGGGGUGCGUACUGCUUCGGAACGCGUCCAGUCGUGCGUGAUCACUACUCAAAAGAGUAGCAAAUACCGCAUACUACCUAAUGCUGACAACGGGGGACAGUAAGGCCUCGCCGGAUCUUACGCGCCGAUGUCGGCUUAGGUAGUUGGUGGGGUAAAGGCUCACCAAGCCCACGAUCUGCAGCUGGUCUGAGAGGACGACCAGCCACACUGGGACUGAGACACGGCCCAGACUCCUACGGGAGGCAGCAGUGGGGAAUUUUGGACAAUGGGCGCAAGCCUGAUCCAGCCAUGCCGCGUGGAGGAAGAAGGCCUUCGGGUUGUAAACUGCUUUUGUUCGGAAAGAAACGGCGCUGGUUAAUACCCGGGGGUAAUGACGGUACCGAAAGAAUAAGCACCGGCUAACUACGUG